CCUACGGGUGGCAGCAGUGGGGAAUAUUGCACAAUGGGCGCAAGCCUGAUGCAGCCAUGCCGCGUGUGUGAAGAAGGCCUUCGGGUUGUAAAGCACUUUCAGCGGGGAGGAAGGCGUUAAGGUUAAUAACCUUGGCGAUUGACGUUACCCGCAGAAGAAGCACCGGCUAACUCCGUGUCAGCAGCCGCGGUAAUACGGAGGGUGCAAGCGUUAAUCGGAAUUACUGGGCGUAAAGCGCACGCAGGCGGUCUGUCAAGUCGGAUGUGAAAUCCCCGGGCUCAACCUGGGAACUGCAUUCGAAACUGGCAGGCUAGAGUCUUGUAGAGGGGGGUAGAAUUCCAGGUGUAGCGGUGAAAUGCGUAGAGAUCUGGAGGAAUACCGGUGGCGAAGGCGGCCCCCUGGACAAAGACUGACGCUCAGGUGCGAAAGCGUGGGGAGCAAACAGGAUUAGAUACCCGAGUAGUC
rnacentral:rRNA from 1 species